UGAAAUGUCAUGAUGAGGACAUGAGUAGUUUUCUACGAUUUUCAGAGAGGGAAGCCUUAGGGUGUGAGCUUCCUAGUACGGGAUUAUUACUUACCACCUCUAAACUUUAGCAGUGAACGAUUUUUUUAGUAAUUGCUAACGGACAACACCGUUAUGUUGAACUUGAGCAAUUAACAAUCAUGUUAAUUGGAACAAGGGUGGAACCACGAAUUCAACACUCGUCCCUUUU
rfam:Bacillus cereus Rock4-18 chromosome, whole genome shotgun sequence.